rnacentral:rRNA from 1 species
UACCAGACUCCUACGGGAGGCAGCAGUGGGGAAUAUUGGGCAAUGGGCGCAAGCCUUACCCAGCAAUACCGCGUGAGUGAAGAAGGUCUUCGGAUUGUAAAGCUCUUUGAUCAGGGACGAACAGAUGACGGUACCUGAAGAACAAGCCCCGGCUAACUAUGUGCCAGCAGCCGCGGUAAUACAUAGGGGGCAAGCGUUAUCCGGAAUUAUUGGGUGUAAAGGGUGCGUAGACGGAGAAACAAGUUGGUUGUGAAAUCCCUCGGCUCAACCGAGGAACUGCAACCAAAACUAUUUCCCUUGAGUGUCGGAGAGGAAAGUGGAAUUCCUAGUGUAGCGGUGAAAUGCGUAGAUAUUAGGAGGAACACCAGUGGCGAAGGCGACUUUCUGGACGAUAACUGACGUUGAGGCACGAAAGUGUGGGGAGCAAACAGGAUUAGAUACCCUUGUAA